GAUGAACGCUGGCGGCGUGCUUAACACAUGCAAGUCGAACGGAAAGGCCCAGCUUGCUGGGUGCUCGAGUGGCGAACGGGUGAGUAACACGUGGGUGAUCUGCCCCUAACUUCGGGAUAAGCUUGGGAAACUGGGUCUAAUACCGGAUAGGACAAUCGUUUAGUGUCGGUUGUGGAAAGUUUUUUCGGUUAGGGAUGAGCCCGCGGCCUAUCAGCUUGUUGGUGGGGUAAUGGCCUACCAAGGCGUCGACGGGUAGCCGGCCUGAGAGGGUGGACGGCCACAUUGGGACUGAGAUACGGCCCAGACUCCUACGGGAGGCAGCAGUGGGGAAUAUUGCACAAUGGGCGCAAGCCUGAUGCAGCGACGCCGCGUGGGGGAUGACGGCCUUCGGGUUGUAAACCUCUUUCGACAGGGACGAAGCUUUGGUGACGGUACCUGUAUAAGAAGCACCGGCUAACUACGUG
rnacentral:rRNA from 1 species